rnacentral:tRNA from 1 species
GCACCCGUAGCUCAGAUGGAUAGAGUGUCAGACUCCGACUCUGAAGGUCGUGGGUUCGAAUCCCGCCGGGUGUGCCA